UAGGGGGCAAGCGUUAUCCGGAUUUACUGGGUGUAAAGGGAGCGUAGACGGUGAAGCAAGUCUGGAGUGAAAGGCCGGGGCUCAACCCCGGGACUGCUUUGGAAACUGUUUGACUGGAGUACAGGAGAGGUAAGUGGAAUUCCUAGUGUAGCGGUGAAAUGCGUAGAUAUUAGGAGGAACACCAGUGGCGAAGGCGGCUUACUGGACUGUAACUGACGUUGAGGCUCGAAAGCGUGGGGAGCAAA
rnacentral:rRNA from 1 species